ACCCACAGAGUCACAUCAGUGUUUAAAGCCCAGUUGGGCACUGCGAUCCACACGCUGCACUGAAGGAGCAGACGGUCUCAGCUGAGUUCCUGGGUGAAAUCAGAACAUCUUAAUGUUUUCCUUCUUGGGUCACAUAAUUCUGCAAAAGAACACCAAGAGAAAUGAGAGACUGCUUCUGCCUGAUCAUUACAGUCUGUACCAGGCUUUUGAACAGGAGAGACUAGCCCCAAAUCCAUGAAAAAUGGUGGAAAUUAUCUAACCAUCUUGAAUGCCUAUUGGACCGUGCCCAGAAAGAAGCAGAGUACUGAAAUUCAGCAGGCAACAGUUAUCUCUGUUGUUUGCUGGUAUAGCAGGAAGACAAAAUGAGCCUGCUGCUCAUUUUGUCUAACUAAUGCAUGCAUUUGCUAUCAGUGAGUCUCCAAAUAAACCUAGCUUCAUCUGUGAAAUCAAGGAUGAAAAAAGGUACUACAUAAGAAGGCAAGGCAUUGAAGUUUUGUUGAUUUGGUGUUAGCUGUAGAGACUGAAGCCACACCGGACCACUGCAGUGUCACCUUCUCCAUAGAAAUAGAGAAAAGGAAGAUGUCCUUCUGCCCGGUGUGACAUCCCUUAUGGCUGACCUGCAGUUUAUCUGCAUUCCCACACGAUCUGCAGGGCAACCUAUGAAAUAAGCUUGAAAAAAUCUGAACGAGGAGGCUGGAGAAGCUCUGAUAAAUGCACCAUAGCAGAGCAGUUGGCAUGGGCUCUGCCUGAUGCUGCAGGAGUGAUUUUUCUCCAGCAUCACACACAGAC